AUUGAACGCUGGCGGCAGGCCUAACACAUGCAAGUCGAGCGAGCGGCGGACGGGUGAGGAAUGUCUGGGAAACUGCCUGAUGGAGGGGGAUAACUACUGGAAACGGUAGCUAAUACCGCAUACCAUCAGAAGUGACCAGUUGGGAUUAGCUAGUAGGUGGGGUAAUGGCUCACCUAAGCGACGGUCCCUAGCUGGUGUGAGAGGCUAACCCGCCACACUGGAACUGAGCCACGGUCCAGACUCCUACGGGAGGCAGCAUUGGGGAAUAUUGCACAAUGGGCGCAAGCCUGAUGCAGCCAUGCCGCGUGUAUGAAGAAGGCCUUCGGGUUGUAAAGUACUUUCAGCGAGGAGGCGUUACUCGCAGAAGAAGCACCGGCUAACUCCGUGCCAGCCGCCGCGGUAAUAC
rnacentral:rRNA from 1 species